UACGUAGGGUGCAAGCGUUAAUCGGAAUUACUGGGCGUAAAGCGUGCGCAGGCGGUUUUGUAAGACUGUCGUGAAAUCCCCGGGCUUAACCUGGGAAUGGCGAUGGUGACUGCAAGGCUAGAGUUUGGCAGAGGGGGGUAGAAUUCCACGUGUAGCAGUGAAAUGCGUAGAGAUGUGGAGGAACACCGAUGGCGAAGGCGGCAUCCUGGACCGGCAUUGACGCUGAGGCGCGAAAGCCAGGGGAGCAAACGGG
rnacentral:rRNA from 1 species